rnacentral:rRNA from 1 species
GAUGAACGCUGGCGGCGUGCUUAAUACAUGCAAGUCGAGCGAACGGACGAGAAGCGUGCUUCUCUGAUGUUAGCGGCGGACGGGUGAGUAACACGUGGAUAACCUACCUAUAAGACUGGGAUAACUGCGGGAAACCGGAGCUAAUACCGGAUACUAUUUUGAACCGCAUGGUGCAAAAGAGAAAGACGGUCUGGCGGUCACUUAUCGAUGGAUCCGCGCUGCAGUAGCUAGUUGGUAAGGUAACGGCUUACCAAGGCAACGAUGCCUUGCCGACCUGUGAGCGGGUUGCGCCACUCUGGGACUGAGCCGCCGUCCAGACUCUGAGGUGCGGCCGAGACAGGUACGCGUCCGAGCAGGGCGGAAUCCUGCCGGAGCAACGCCGCCCUGGUGCUGAAGGUCUGCGUAUCGUAUGACUCUGUUAUUAUUGAAGACCGUAUUUGUAAGUGACUGUGCACAGCUUGACGGUACCUAAUCAGAAAGCCACGGCUAACUACGUG